UACGGAGGGGGCUAGCGUUGUUCGGAAUUACUGGGCGUAAAGCGCACGUAGGCGGCUUUGUAAGUUAGAGGUGAAAGCCCGGGGCUCAACUCCGGAAUUGCCAUUAAGACUGCAUCGCUAGAAUUGUGGAGAGGUAAGUGGAAUUCCGAGUGUAGAGGUGAAAUUCGUAGAUAUUCGGAAGAACACCAGUGGCGAAGGCGACUUACUGGACACAUAUUGACGCUGAGGUGCGAAAGCGUGGGGAGCAAACAGG
rnacentral:rRNA from 1 species